AGGAAAAUGAUAUACCAAUUAACAAUGUAAAGCUGCUUUGACACAAUCUGCAUUGUAAAAAGCGCUAUAUAAAUAAGGGUGACUUGACUUGACUUUUUAUUUUCAGCAGCUGGAGAAGAGACAGCCUGUGCAGCAACAACAAGACAACAAUGAUUAUAAGCAGGGAUAAUCUCCAGGUGUUCUGCACGGGUCCAGGAUCAAGAGAUCAUUCAUCAUGCAGACCAUGUUCCAGGAGAAGCAGGGUAUACUGGGUCUGCUUGAUCAUUUUGUUGUCCUGGAUGUGAGAACAUGGUCAAAAGGUGUGUCAAUCAGCAUCCAGCCAUAAAAGCAGCCUUCUCGUUAAAAGGCUCAGGAGGACAAACAGAAAGAUGUAUUUUUGAGGAGGCUACAACAACAACUAAAGCCAGGGACACACUUAACGACUGUAAGGCCGAUUAUAAAUGUAAUUUGAUACUUUCAACUGAUCUUGCCCAAACACGUCGAGUCAGAGCCAGUUGCGUUCAGUCUGUUUAUAAUCUAAGUAUUUAAAUCCACUUCAGUCGAAGGUAACAGUUUUUAAGUGUGUUGAUUUCAGUCUUAGAAUGUUUCUUCUAGUCGUUCAGUGUGUCCCCAGCUUGAAGGAGUCAGCAGUGAGGGAAGUAAUCGUUAAAAUCUGCCAGAGGAGGAUGAUGAUGGCAGUGGUGACCAAGGUGACAGUGCAGCUCAGGAUGAAGAAGAGGAGGAACAUUGAUUGGCACGGAGACAGGAUAAAACGCCGUGAGAAGCAGGAGUGUGUGAGAGAGAGGGGAACUGCUGACUGAGUCGUGUCGAGGUUCUUGGAGUGAAGCCCUUGUGGAUUGUGUAUACCAGACUUGGAGAGAAGCCCUUGUGGAUGGUGUAUACCGAACCUGGAGUGAAGCCCUUUGUGGAUUGUUUAUUUUUGUUGUUGUGCGCUGCACAGUCUUUCUGUUGAACCUUUUUGAAACCUAAUAAAGUCUCAGUCAGCAGUUGUUCGUCGACCCUGUCCUCUUCCUUCCCCAACUACGAACUUAACUGUGCUACACUGGUGCCGAAACCCGGGAAGGAAGACGGGAGCACGUCGCCAUGCAAGCUUCGUCCUCCACCCCAUUUGCGGAGAUCAUCGCGUCCCUCGCGGUCCUGCACUGCGAACAACAACAGGCCCUGCUGGAGCUAAGAAGUGAUCAGGAGCGGUGUUUUCAAGCCAUCCUACAGACCCAGCAGGAGGACCGCGAGGCGUUCCGGAGCUGGAUUGACCGGGAGGUUCCCGGGGAACCCACCGAGCAGCCCGCUGUGCCUGUCCACCUGCCCUUAAACAAGAUGGGCCCACUGGACGAUCCAGAAGUUUUCCUCGAGCUCUUUGAGAGAUCCGCGGAGGCGUGUAAAUGGCCGCGGGACCAGUGGUCUAUGAGGCUGGUCCCGCUCCUCUCAGGAGAAGCACAGGUGGCGGCACAGCAGCUCCCAGUCCAGAACCUCCUGGUCUAUGACGACCUACGGCGGGCCAUCGUCCAGCGGGUUUGUCGGACCCCAGAGCAGCAUCGACAGCGCUUCCGCUCCCUCGACCUGGGUGAGUCCGGCCGGCCCUUUAUGAUGGCCCAACAGCUCCGGGACUCGUGCCGCAAAUGGUUGCUGGCUGAGGGAAGCGACAUGGACCUGGUCAUCGAUCGCGUGGUACUGGAGCAGUUCAUCACUCGGCUCCCGGAAAAAACUGCCGAGUGGGUCCAGUGCCACCGCCCCACGUCGCUGGACUCAGCCAUCCAAUUGCGGAGGACCACAUGGUGGCGUGCCAAGGGGUCGGCGAUCAUUUUGUGGAUAAAUGUCCGGUUAUGGAGGUCGGGACAGUGAUCCGGGUCCCCGACGAUCCACAGGCCGCCCCUGGUCAGGCUGGCGGGUACCAAAUACCUUGAUUGGCGCAGAGACAGGAUAAAACGCCGUGAGAAGCAGGAGUGUGUGAGAGAGAGGGGAACUGCUGACUGAGUCGUGUCGAGGUUCUUGGAGUGAAGCCCUUGUGGAUUGUGUAUACCAGACUUGGAGAGAAGCCCUUGUGGAUGGUGUAUACCGAACCUGGAGUGAAGCCCUUUGUGGAUUGUUUAUUUUUGUUGUUGUGCGCUGCACAGUCUUUCUGUUGAACCUUUUUGAAACCUAAUAAAGUCUCAGUCAGCAGUUGUUCGUCGACCCUGUCCUCUUCCUUCCCCAACUACGAACUUAACUGUGCUACAUAUAUAUAUAUAUA